UGACAGAGUUUAAAUCUGGCUCAGGAUGAACGCUGGCGGCGUGCAUAAUACAUGCAAGUCGAGCGAACGGACGAGAAGCUUGCUUCUCUGAUGUUAGCGGCGGACGGGUGAGUAACACGUGGAUAACCUACCUAUAAGACUGGGAUAACUUCGGGAAACCGGAGCUAAUACCGGAUAAUAUUUUGAACCGCAUGGUUCAAAAGUGAAAGACGGUCUUGCUGUCACUUAUAGAUGGAUCCGCGCUGCAUUAGCUAGUUGGUAAGGUAACGGCUUACCAAGGCAACGAUGCAUAGCCGACCUGAGAGGGUGAUCGGCCACACUGGAACUGAGACACGGUCCAGACUCCUACGGGAGGCAGCAGUAGGGAAUCUUCCGCAAUGGGCGAAAGCCUGACGGAGCAACGCCGCGUGAGUGAUGAAGGUCUUCGGAUCGUAAAACUCUGUUAUUAGGGAAGAACAUAUGUGUAAGUAACUGUGCAYAUCUUGACGGUACCUAAUCAGAAAGCCACGGCUAACUACGUGCCAGCAGCCGCGGUAAUACGUAGGUGGCAAGCGUUAUCCGGAAUUAUUGGGCGUAAAGCGCGCGUAGGCGGUUUUUUAAGUCUGAUGUGAAAGCCCACGGCUCAACCGUGGAGGGUCAUUGGAAACUGGAAAACUUGAGUGCAGAAGAGGAAAGUGGAAUUCCAUGUGUAGCGGUGAAAUGCGCAGAGAUAUGGAGGAACACCAGUGGCGAAGGCGACUUUCUGGUCUGUAACUGACGCUGAUGUGCGAAAGCGUGGGGAUCAAACAGGAUUAGAUACCCUGGUAGUCCACGCCGUAAACGAUGAGUGCUAAGUGUUAGGGGGUUUCCGCCCCUUAGUGCUGCAGCUAACGCAUUAAGCCCCCCCCCGCCCCCG
rnacentral:rRNA from 1 species